UCCCUCAGUGAAGAAAACAUUAUGCCUAGA
rnacentral:piRNA from 1 species